GAGGAAAAAAAUUCAGGGGUAGAAUUUGGUAUUUUGGGAAAUUAAAGAGGAGUGGGCUGGAUCGGGUUUUUUCUAUUGGGCUGAGUUAUGGUUUCGUUUGGUUUUUUAUGCUAGUGGAGAAAUGAGGAACUGAUUGGGGUUGAGAGACCAAAUAAGAAAAAAUGACCUAAUAAUACUAGUUAAAAUCUAUAUUACAAAACAUAAGAAUACUUUUUCUUAUUUAUGAAACAUAACAAGUUUACAAAACAUACAAGAUUUGGGUUAUGCACAGAUCCACGAUUUUGUGCUAAAAUUUAGGGAUCCGAUUUUGGGUUGAACUCUGGGCAGUUACCCAUUUAAUUCCAUCAUUUCAAAAUAUUUCUCUUUCUACAGAAAUAUUCCUAGUGUGAUUUUCUCUCAAUUUCAAACUACAGUUUCCUCCACUUCAAAUCACGAUUUUGCCUUCUUCAACCACUCUUUCACCAUUCUUACUGUUCAUCGUUAUUUUUGUGUAUUAACAGUGUUAUUGAUCCUAUACUGUUAGAGUUUAUGUGUAUUUCGUGUUCAUUUGUUUUUGCGAAAUAAUGAGUAAAAAGUUUCAAUGAUGUUCCUCCCCGUAAAAAUCCUAGAAUUGUGAAUUCAACGAGUCCUAAGAUAUGGCCAGAACCAAACACGAAACAUUAAAGAAGACGAUGAAGAAGAAAGUCAAGCCGAAAGGUUCAGACAUAGCUCAUUCGCAACUUGAAUGGGACGAUAUUUUCAUUGUUAAGUUGAAUGGGAAAAAGCUUUAUUUUGGUAUUAGAGAAUUUGUCAUUGUGACACAGUUUGAAAGGCGGCAUAGACAACGAUUUCGUCGCAAACUCCGAGGCAUGACAUCGAUGAAUUUCCACUUUUUUGAUCAAGCCAAAGUACCAAAAAAGCAAUUGGUUAGGGUCUUUCAAGAUAAAUCUUAGAUUGAGGAUGUCGCGACCCAACCGAAAAGUGCAAAAAUAGUUAUUAGAGUAACUAGCUGGUUUGUGUUUGAUGUAAAAAGAUGGUUUGUUGGUGACUUCUUAUGUUUUCUUUGGACCCAUCUUAGUUUUUUGCUUGUUUUGUUAUGCAAAUAUUGUAAUUCAUUUUGCUAUGAAUAUAUCUAAAUAUAAUAUUAUGUUCUUACCA